AGGCAGAUUUAGCCCUCCACAUCCAGAAGCUUCUGGAUUUUGGGUGUGGUAGUUUUGGGUCUGCUUCUAUAGGUUCCCUGUUGCUAACUCUAUGAGGGUUAGCAGUCAGGGUAGUUGCUUUACAAAGGCCCAUGUGCGAGUUGGGAAAAGCUGAGCCCAGGAGUAGAAAGCUGGCUGUUGUCCCUAAUUGAAGCAUUUUGCAGCAGGAAUUUGAUCUUGAUCUGUUUGACUUCAUUGGGACUUAAGCUUCUGCGGAUUAGAAAAUGGAAAAUGUAGAAGUCAAGCUGGAGAUGGUUCCGAGCGCAAUCGCCUGCCAAGUUAAGUCUGACAAAUGGCAAGGUGACUCCCCCAGACAGAUUGGCAUCAGCACUGCAUAGCCUGUUCAAUGGCCCAUCAACUAUAUGAUGAACCCAUGGAAAGAACCAGGGAUACACCUUAUAAGUCAGCAAGACAAGUGGUAUGCCUGUGGACAAAGAACGCUAAGGCUUUUCCAUGUCAUGUGCUGUGAAGCUUGUGUUGGGACAAGGGAAAUACAAGCUGCAUGGCAAAAGAAUAUAAAAGGCAUCAUCUCCAUUUUGUCUUCAUUUCUGCUUCCUACCUCUGGAGUAACUUUUCUGCAAAUGAAGCUCUGAACAAAGGACUGAAUGACCCAUCCAAGUUGUGGAACUUUCAAGCCAAUAAACUCACCAAUACUUCUAAGAACCUGAUAUAUGGACUUUGAAGUCUGUGUAUGUAUUUGACUGCUUUACCAUUUUAAAACUCUCUUUUUGUUCUUUCUUUUUUCCUAAUAGACC